rnacentral:tRNA from 1 species
GCGGGAGUAGCUCAGUUGGUAGAGCAUCAGCUUCCCAAGCUGAGGGUCGCGGGUUCGAGUCCCAUCUCCCGCU